rnacentral:rRNA from 1 species
UGGCCAACCAAGUCCAUCGGGAAAUCCACCUGCCCAACAGGUGGGCGUCCGGUGGAAACUGGCUGGCUUGGAACCGGAAGGCUCAGAGAGUACGUCCGGGGUAGGAGUGAAAUCCCGUAAUCCCGGACGGACUACCGAUGGCGAAAGCACUCUGAGAAGACGGCUUCGACAGUGAGGGACGAAAGCUCGGGUCUCAAACCGGAUUAGAUACCCGGGUAGUCCGAGCUGUAAACGAUGCUCGUUAGGUGUGGCACCCACUACGAGUGGGUGCUGUGCCGUAGGGAAGCCGCUAAACGAGCCGCCUGGGAA